GUGCUCGCUUCGGCAGCACAUAUACUAAAAUUGGAAUGAUACAGAGAAGAUUAGCAUGGCCCCUGUGCAAGGAUGACAUGCAAAUUCGUGAAGCAUUCCAUAUUUUU
ensembl:snRNA U6 U6 spliceosomal RNA